UGUGGGAUCGGCCUGGGUUCAUGCGUUGGCUGAAACCCAUUAUGACAACCUGAAGUAGGAUCCUUGUUACAGAUCCUGCCUACCAUACAUUUUUUCUUAACCCUGUUCUGUUGUGUCCAGGUCAUUGUUGCUGAUAAUUUCUUCACUGGUUCAAAAGACAACCUGAAGAAGUGGAUCGGCCCUCCAAGAUUUGAGCUCAUCCGUCACGAGUGCUUAGUGGAAGUGCGAGAUAUGAAAACUGAAGAAACAGUUUGCAGAAUUACAUUUGGAACAUCUGGAGAAGGACAAUGCAGUGGCAAGGCCUACGGAAGCAUGUCAAAAGGAGUUUCAUCAUUUGUUUUGAAGAAACCUCUAUUCCAUUUUAUUUAUCCACAUGAUUUUUCUUUGGUUUUCCCGGAAGAAACUACUACCUAGCUAGUAAUUAUCUCCAAGGUCUGUAAUUCAUUAUUUGGUCAAAGUAGUUUGUAAUAUAGGAUUCACAUGGUGUGAAUCAUUUUGGACAUGUCUCA